AACUUACUCCACAGUUCCCUAUAGUUUAGGACUAAUUUUGAGACUUUCUGGCAAGAAUAGGAUUCUCCAGGGAGAUUUUUUUAGCGAUAGGAGGUUGAAAUUAAGAGCAUGAGUUUGUCCGCGAUGAGGAGAGGAAGAGAAAAGUGACAGCGAUUUGGAGAUUGGAAUGGUGGUGGAGGCUAUAACAGUCAUUUUCUGAUGAGGGUGGGUGUACGCCAACGAGGAUUUCCGACGGAUCUAUAGAGUAAGGUUGGAUGUGUUGUGGUCGCAAGGGUGGGGUGAAUCCAAUGGAGUCCUCAAUUUGUGGUUUAGAAGCGGUUUAAAGGGUCGAUUUUGAAGUUAUAGGUGGUUGUGGCGGUGACUAUAGUUUAGGACUAAUUUUAAGACUUUCUAGCGAGAAUAGGAUUCUCCAGGGAGAUUUUUUUUAGCGAUAGGAGGUUGAAAUUAAGAGCAUGAGUUUGUCCGCGAUGAGGAGAGGUAGAGAAAAGUGACAGCGAUUUGGAGAUUGGAAUGGUGGUGGAGGCUAUAACAGUCAUUUUCUGAUGAGGGUGGGUGUACGCCAACGAGGAUUUCCGACGGAUCUAUAGAGUAAGGUUGGAUGUGUUGUGGUCGCAAGGGUGGGGUGAAUCCAAUGGAGUCCUCAAUUUGUGGUUUAGAAGCGGUUUAAAGGGUCGAUUUUGAAGUUAUAGGUGGUUGUGGCGGUGACUAUAGUUUAGGACUAAUUUUAAGACUUUCUAGCGAGAAUAGGAUUCUCCAGGGAGAUUUUUUUUAGCGAUAGGAGGUUGAAAUUAAGAGCAUGAGUUUGUCCGCGAUGAGGAGAGGUAGAGAAAAGUGACAGCGAUUUGGAGAUUGGAAUGGUGGUGGAGGCUAUAACAGUCGUUUUCCGAUGAGGGUGGGUUUACGUCAACGAGGAUUUCCGGCGAAGCUAGAGAGUAAGGUUGGAUGUGUUGUGGUCGCAAGGGUGGUGUGAAUCCAAUGGAGUCCUCAAUUUGUGGUUUAGCAGGGGUUUAAAGGGUCGAUUUGGAAGUUAUAGGUGGUUGUGGCGGUGACUAUAGUUUAGGAUUAAUUUUAAGACUUUCUGGCGAGAAUAGGAUUCUCUAGGAAGAUUUUUUUAGCGAUAGCAGGUCGAAAUUAAGAGCAUGAGUUUGUCCG
rnacentral:lncRNA from 1 species